GACAGUAUGGCCGAGUGGUGAAGGCGGCAGAUUUAAGGUUUAGACCAUAUCUCUGCUCACUCUUGUGAUCGUGGGUUCAAACCCCACUGCUGUCA
rnacentral:tRNA from 1 species